CGGCGACCUCUGCGCAGUAAUACAGCUCGCACCGGAACCCCGACGCGGCCACGCCGUAAAACACCCAACUUCUGAACGUUGACCUCGAAU
rnacentral:rRNA from 1 species